GGGUAACAGGGACUCCCUGUGGAAGCAAAUCCCAAAGGCAGUGGGCUCCAGGCUUCUUUGCAGCCCAGGGCUGUAGUGACUGAAGGCCUGAAGGACUGCAGGUGUGGUGAGGACAUUGGAGUAAAAAAUGCUACCAUCUCCUGUCAUUAGGUGGACAGUGU